rnacentral:rRNA from 1 species
GAUGAACGCUAGCGACAGGCUUAACGCAUGCAAGUCGAGGGGCAGCGGGGGCAGCAAUGCCUGCCGGCGACCGGCGCACGGGUGAGUAACGCGUAUGCAACUUGCCUAUCAGAGGGGAAUAGCCCGGCGAAAGUCGGAUUAAUGCUCCAUAAAACAGGGGUCCCGCAUGGGAAUAUUUGUUAAAAAUUCAUCGCUGAUAGAUAGGCAUGCGUUCCAUUAGGCAGUUGGCGGGGUAACGGCCCACCAAACCGACGAUGGAUAGGGGUUCUGAGAGGAAGGUCCCCCACAUUGGAACUGAGACACGGUCCAAACGCCUACGGGAGGCAGCAGUGAGGAAUAUUGGUCAAUGGCCGGGAGGCUGAACCAGCCAAGUCGCGUGAAGGAUGAAGGAUCUAUGGUUUGUAAACUUCUUUUAUACGGGAAUAAAAUGUGGGACGUGUCCCAUUUUGUAUGUACCGUAUGAAUAAGCAUCGGCUAACUCCGUGCCAGCAGCCGCAGUAAUAC